GAUGAACGCUGGCGGCGUGCCUAAUACAUGCAAGUCGAGCGAACGGACGAGAAGCUUGCUUCUCUGAUGUUAGCGGCGGACGGGUUAGUAACACGUGGAUAACCUACCUAUAAGACUGGGAUAACUUCGGGAAACCGUAGCUAAUACCGGAUAAUAUUUUGAACCGCAUGGUUCAAAAGUAAAAGACGGUCUUGCUGUCACUUAUAGAUGGAUCCGCGAUGCAUUAGCUAGUUGGUAAGGUAACGGCUUACCAAGGCAACGAUGCAUAGCCGACCUGAGAGGGUGAUCGGCCACACUGGAACUGAGACACGGUCCAGACUCCUACGGGAGGCAGAAGUAGGGAAUCUUCCGAAAUGGGCGAAAGCCUGACGGAGCAACGCCGCGUGAGUGAUGAAGGUCUUAGGAUCGUAAGACUCUGUUAUUAGGGAAGAACAUAUGUGUAAGUAACUGUGCACAUCUUGACGGUACCUAAUCAGAAAGCCACGGCUAACUACGUG
rnacentral:rRNA from 1 species